UUUAAAGAGAAAAUUUAUGGAUACCGAAAAUGGACAAACCAAGCGGUAAAAUACUUGUAUGUUUUUAUUUCUUUUAUAUAUAUUUAAUUUAUUU
rnacentral:ribozyme from 13 species